GUGCUUGCUUCAGCAGCACAUAUACUAAAACUGGAGCAAUAUGGAGAAGAUUAGCAUGGCCUCUAUGCAAGCAUGACGUGCAAAUUUGUGAAGGGUUCCAUAUUUUU
rnacentral:snRNA from 1 species